AGUGAACGCUGGCGGCAGGCCUAAUACAUGCAAGUCGAACGGCAGCACAGCAGAGCUUGCUCUGUGGGUGGCGAGUGGCGGACGGGUGAGGAAUACGUGGGAAUCUGCCCAGUCGUGGGGGAUAACGUAGGGAAACUUACGCUAAUACCGCAUGCGCCCUUCGGGGGAAAGCCGGGGACCUUCGGGCCUGGCGCGAUUGGAUGAGCCCACGUCGGAUUAGCUAGUUGGCGGGGUAAAGCCCACCGAGGCGACGAUCCGUAGCUGGUCUGAGAGGAUGAUCAGCCACACUGGAACUGAGACACGGUCCAGACUCCUACGGGAGGCAGCAGUAGGGGAAUAUUGGACAAUGGGCGCAAGCCUGAUCCAGCCAUGCCGCGUCGAGUGAAGAAGGCCCUC
rnacentral:rRNA from 1 species